UGUCAGCCGCCGCGGUAAUACGGAGGGUCCAAGCGUUGUCCGGAUUUAUUGGGUUUAAAGGGUACGCAGGCGGGACUUUAAGUCAGUGGUGAAAGCCUCCAGCUUAACUGGAGAAUUGCCAUUGAAACUGAUGUUCUUGAGUAUGGAUGAGGUGGUUGGAAUAUAACAUGUAGCGGUGAAAUGCAUAGAUAUGUUAUAGAACACCAAUUGCGAAGGCAGAUUACUAACAAUAUACUGACGCUGAGGGACGAAAGCGUGGGUGGCGAACAGGAUUAGAUA
rnacentral:rRNA from 1 species